UUCAAUCAUAAUCUUAGAUUAAUAAUUUAGUUCCCCAUCAAGUCACACAUCAUCAUUGAAUAAAGUUUAAACAAUAAAAACAAACUAAGAAAACAAAAGAAUAAUAAAAAAGAUAAAACUCAAGAAUUAUAAUCUUGAUCUUCCCAGUCUUCUUGAAUCCUUCAAAAUCUUCUCAGCUUCAACGACUUUGUGACUUGAUUCUCCACUAUCAAUCUGGUGUUUCGUUCUUUUUUUUUUUAAGUCAUCCGAAAGGUUGUUUUUAUAGGCUUUAAAGUUAGGCCAAGUUGGGUGGAGAAAGAAUUCAAUUCG
rnacentral:lncRNA from 1 species